UCCUGGCUCAGGAUUAACGCUGGCGGUAUGCCUAACACAUGCAAGUCGAACGGAAUACUAAUUAAGAGAAUCUCACACUAGUGAGAGGUUCUCACGAGUAGUAUUUAGUGGCGGACGGGUGAGUAACACGUUGGAACCUGCCCCGAAGUGGGGAAUAACUGCUCGAAAGAGUAGCUAAUACCCCAUAGUAUCCGGUUUAUCCGGAUUAAAGAUUUAUCGCUUUGGGAGGGGCCUGCGUCUGAUUAGCUAGUUGGUGAGGUAAAAGCUCACCAAGGCGACGAUCAGUAGCUGGUUCGAGAGGAUGACCAGCCACACUGGGACUGAGAUACGGCCCAGACUCCUACGGGAGGCAGCAGUGAGGAAUCUUCCACAAUGGGCGCAAGCCUGAUGGAGCAAUACCGCGUGCAGGAAGACGCUUUUCGGAGUGUAAACUGCUUUUGUCGUCGAAGAUUAUGACUGUAGACGAAGAAUAAGGACCGGCUAACUACGUG
rnacentral:rRNA from 1 species